GACGAACGCUGGCGGCGUGCUUAACACAUGCAAGUCGAACGGAAAUUCCCUGCUUUUGGGGCGUGCUCGAGUGACGAACGGGUGAGUGACUCGCGAGUAACCAGCCCUCGACUUUGGGUUAGCUUACGGAAGCUAACGCUAAUAAAUGAUAGAUGCUCCUGCUGCAUGGUGGGGGUUGGAAAAUUUGGUCGGUUGGGGAUGAACUGGGGGCUUAUCAGCUUGUUGGUAGGUUAGUGGCUUGCCAAGGCUUUGACAGGUAGCCGGCCUGGGAGGGGGGCCGGCGCCAUGAGGACUGAGAUACGGCACAGAAGCGAAUGGGACGCAGCAGGGGAGAAUAUUGCAGAAUGGGCGGGAGCCAGAUGCGACAAAGCCGCGUGCGGGAAGACGUGCUGCGAGGUGUGAACGGCUGUCGCCUGUGACGAAGCGUGAGUGACGGUAAUGGGUAAAGAAGCACCGGCUAACUACGUG
rnacentral:rRNA from 1 species